UACGUAGGUGGCAAGCGUUGUCCGGAUUUACUGGGUGUAAAGGGCGUGUAGCCGGGCUGACAAGUCAGAUGUGAAAUCCGGGGGCUCAACCCCCGAACUGCAUUUGAAACUGUUGGUCUUGAGUAUCGGAGAGGCAGGCGGAAUUCCUAGUGUAGCGGUGAAAUGCGUAGAUAUUAGGAGGAACACCAGUGGCGAAGGCGGCCUGCUGGACGACAACUGACGGUGAGGCACGAAAGCGUGGGGAGCGAACAGG
rnacentral:rRNA from 1 species